rnacentral:hammerhead_ribozyme from 1 species
AUCCAGUUGACAAGUCCCAAAUAGAACGAAACGCGUGUCCUGGAU